UGUUGAGAGAUGAGGCCUUGGCCAUCUCCUCUUUAGAGUAUCUGCCCAUGGAGCUCUAUCCAUCCCUAUUCAUGGUUGCCUUCUCUGGCAGACACAAGGAGACCCUGAAGGCUAUGGAGCAAGCCUGGCCCUUUGUUUGCUUGCCUCUGGAGGAGGGUCUCAUUGACUUGCCUCAUGCAGGACCCCUACAAGCAGUGCUGGAAGCACUUGAUAUACUGCUUGCCCAGAAGGUUGCCUCCAGGAGGUGCAAACUGAGGGUGCUAGAUUUACAAACUACUGGCCAGAACUUCUGGAGCCUGUGGUCUGGAGCCAGCAGUUAUGGGCGCUCAAGCUCAUGAAUGGCACCAGUGGCUGAGCCCAGGUCAAUGACAAAGCAGCAUUUGGCUCCAAUGAAUGUUUUUAUAGACCUUUGCCUGAAGAGAAGGAUCCUGGAUAACUUCCUCACCUGCAUCCUCAGGUAGGUGGAGCAGAGAAAGUCUUCCAUCCACCUGUGUUGUAAGAAGCUGAAGAUUGUUUCACUGCCAAUGGACAAUACUGUGAAAGUCCUGAGCAUGGUGCAGCUGGACUGUAUCCAGGAGGUGCAAGUGAGUUGCACCUGGAAUCUGUCCACCCUGGCCACGUUUGCUCCUUUCCUGGGUGAGAUGAGUAACUUACAGAGACUCCAUCUCUUUCACAUCCACAUGUCUGUCUGCCUUCAAGAAACAGGAGCAGCAUCAUAUUGUGCAAAUCACCUCUCAGUUCUUAAAGCUGAGCCACGUCCAGGACCUCCAUCUGGUAUCUCCCUUCUUCCUUGAAGGUUGCCUAUACCAGAUGCUCAGGUGAGUGUGCACCACUGGUUGGGUUACGUUGAACACAAAGCUAGAAGGUCAAAAGCACUGUCUCCUUUGCUGCUCUCUCCUAAAAUGUGGUGUUCCACAACCACAGAAAUCAAGGCAAGGGGUUAAACUGGUCUCAGAAGAGCAAAGUGGCUCUUCUAAGACACCUUGCUGGGGAGGUACAGAUUAUUGACUGGGAUGUUUGGAUCCCAGGAUUUUUAAUUUCCUCCUUCUUUGGAGUUGUCUAUGUUGAAAUGAUAGAAAUAUGUAAGUAAGAAGCUGGGAAACUACGUCAGACCAGAGCAUUCCUGAAGAGACGCUCUAUUCUCCCAAGGUUUGUGCCCACAGUGAACUUGUUCUAAAUUUCCUGUUUGUAAAAGUUUGUUUUGUGCUCCAGAUAAGCUAAUUCAUAUAUGGGAGAAAUCUGGUUCUGGAAAUGAUGUUCAUCAAGCUGAGAGAAACGGAUAAUAGAAAGUGACAGAAAGUUGGUAGAAGAUGUGGGGUAUAAAUGAGCCCAUCUAGUUAUUGUUGUUCAGUUGCUCAGUCAUGUCUGACUCUUACUGACCCCAUGAACUACAGCACAAAGGCUUCCCUAUCCUUCACCAUUUUCCAGGGCUUGCUCAAGCUCAUGUCUAUUGAGUCAGUGAUGCCAUCCAACCAUCUCAUCCUCUGUCGUCCACUGCUCCUCCUAGAGGAGUUCUCCUCCAUCUAGAGCCCCUCCAGAUGGCAACACAUAUCAUGUUGUGGGAUCUUGUAUAAGUUGGUUCCUUAUGCAUGUCUCCCGAGAUCUUUACCUGCCCAAGAUGCAGGCAUCUGGAGCCAAACUUGGACUGAAGGAAGUCUUAGAUGAAAUCAUUUUAAAAUCUCA
ensembl:lincRNA